rnacentral:rRNA from 1 species
UACGUAGGGGGCAAGCGUUGUCCGGAUUUACUGGGCGUAAAGGGCGCGUAGGCGGCGCGAGCAGUCGAUCGUGAAAGUCCGGAGCUCAACUCCGGAUCGGCGGUCGAUACUCUCGUGCUUGAACACUGUAGAGGCAGAUGGAAUUCCGGGUGUAGCGGUGGAAUGCGUAGAGAUCCGGAAGAACACCGGUGGCGAAGGCGGUCUGCUGGGCAGUUGCUGACGCUGGAUGC